ensembl:lncRNA
GAAGGUGAUUAUGUUAGAAGGAAAACAUUGCAUUGCGUGUGUGUGUGUGUGUGUGUGUGUUUCCUUAUCUCUGUCUUGCCAAAGGAAACUUGAUCAUCCCUGUGUUUGGGUUUGGGGUUUGGCCUCUCUAAGGUCUGGGCUGCAGUGCAGUGUGUGGUGGCUUGCAGGUUACACAUUCAUUAUCCAGUUCAGGGUCCUCGAGGCAUUUCCAUCCCUUCCUAUGGCUGCCUGGGCCCCCCAGACCCUGCCAGGCUCUUCUGAUGAUUCAUUACCUCUCAUGUAGCAAGAGCUUAAGAGAAGGAUUAAUGUGUGAAUGUUGGGGUAUGUAGUUGAGAAAUAGAGACAGAAUUAGACAACACCCUUUAAUUUGGAGAGGAAAAGAGAAAUGAGUGGUUGAUGCAUCUUAGGAAAUUAAAGUAAAACAUUUUUUUGUCACCCUCUGUCACAUUAUUGAAUGUUGUGCAGGUAGCACAGCAGUUUAAAACCUCACUUCCUUUUCUCAUAUAAAGGCGAAUUCUGUCUUGACCAAAAAUGCAAACAGAAGAAAACCAGAUCAAGAAGUUGAAAGCCAACCAGCUCACCCGACACGUGUGAUGGUGUGACCUUUAGAGACCGGUAAAAGGGAGAGACCGACUUCUUCCAGCUUCUUACCUUUGCUUGAGGGGGCCUGUGUGCAUUGCUCAGUCCACAGGAGGUUUCAUUCCAAGGAAAUGCCCUCCCCUACAUUAGACUGUAGUUCAGUCCCUGCAGCUGUGGUGAUAGCAGAAACGAGGUGAGUAAGUGUGGGGGGUUUCUGCCCACCACAAAUCCAGGAGCUAUUGUAUACCUCAUUUCUAACUCGUGACUGAGUAACAUGCUUUAACUUUCUCUAACCCCUACAGAGUUGCCAAGUCUGCCCUCCCUCUUCUGAGUAAUGUUGAACUCUGGCCUAUAGCAUCAUGGGACCUGUAGCCUAGGGUGGGACUUCCCAAAGCCUCUGAACGUUGCUGCUUUAAAAGCUACUGCAAGCUGAGGGCAAAUUGCAAUCGUCUCUUUCUUUUUGUUGCAAGGGGUCUUCCCAGGACUCUUUAACAUCUGUUCCCCGCCACCCUGCCCUUAGGGGCUGGCCAGCCCUCCCCACACCCCCAGCCCCCACCACAUCUCUGACUGCUGGCCACACAUCACCUCCUGUACUUGCCUUCUCCCUGGUAGGGAGAGGUCAUCCCCUUCCCCUGUGAGGCCUCAGGGUUCUGCUUAUUUUCAGGACUUUGGGUGGAAGGGAAGACACACCAAAGGCUCCUUUAACCUGACUGCUGCAUAUACAUUUCACUUUUUUCCUUUGACAUGACCAAAAAAAAUCC